rnacentral:lncRNA from 1 species
ACUCAAACCUAAUCGAUUAGCCGUGUCCACGGUCAUGGACAACUUGAGCCAAAGGAACGGAAGUUAUCUGAAAUUCUCAACACAAAUAAUAAUAUUGAUGUGGGAAUUAUUGACAACUCGGGUACGAGAAUUGGUUGGCUGAACCAUCUCGUUAACAACAAACAACGUAGUAACAUUUUGCUUUUAACCCUCUCUUGAUGUAGGAGAAAACUUGCUUUUCGCUAAAAACUUAUAG